ACUGCAACCUCUGCCUCCCGGGGUUCAAGCAAUUCUCCUGCCUCAGCCUCCUGAGUAGCUCUCACCGUGGGACUUGCCUGCUCCGCUUUGCCUUCCUCCACGAGUAAAAGCUCCCUGAGGCCUCCCCAGAAGCCAAGCAGAUGCUAGCACCAUGCUUGUACACCUGCAGAACCCUUCUUGCAAAAAUUCUUCCACCUGAGACAACUUGUGACCAUCCUCUCAGCCAGCUUCUUGAGAAAGUGACAGUUUGGAUAGCGGACUUGGAGUUGGGAGAGUAGACAAGGAGGUCACUUCAGCUGCUUGGCUGAACCUCACUCCCUUCCUGUGGCUCUGCCUUCCUCAUCAAUGGGACAGGAAUCUGGAAGAAUAUUCCAAGCAUAUUGAGGACUAUGUGUAUAUGAACACUACGGAGUAUAUGUACACACUUGAAGGAAGACUAAUGAAAACAAAUUUACAAGAGAAUCUAGGAGCAAGUUAUAAUAGUGAUCAGUACUGUUAUGUAUAUGAGUGUGUCUGAUGUGUGAUAUUUUGUAGGUAAGUUCAGAACUUGUUCCCACAAACUUUGCAAAUAUCUUCUGGGGC
rnacentral:lncRNA from 1 species